UUCUCUUUCAAUGAAUGUAUUCCUUAGCAAAGCAGGCACAAGAAAAAGCAUCAGAGAAGCGAUCCAUCACAAGAUCAGUUCGAAAUCGGAGGUGGGUUUUAUUCGAUUUGUGUACAUCACAAUUUACAGAGCUUCAGAUAUCUUCGUCUUCCUCAUCUCUUCAACUUGUGCAGAGAAACAGAAAAUGUUUUCAAGGUAGUAGAACAUCGAUUUGAUCUUUCCUUGAUUUUUUCCCCGUACUUUGGUGCAAAG